rnacentral:lncRNA from 1 species
GUGCAUAUUAAACAAUGGACACAGAUAAAUUCAUGGCAAACUUGUGUUUUGGUGAUGGUGAUGUGUUUGUAGAUCUUACUUUACUGAACAUUCUUGUUGCUACAAUUAUCUCUAUCUAUAAUGAACUUGGCCCAGUAAUUACAUUGGAAAAUAUUUUCUAAAAAUUUAUGAGAAUUGUUAAAAGAUUACUAUAAAGGGCAAUAACUCCUUAAGAGGU